GAACUGGUGCAGGCAAUCUAGGAAGGCCAGCGUGGCGCGGUCGAAUUUGUUGUCCAGGAAGACGUUGUCCCUCCCGUCGGAGGCCAAGGGCAGCUCCUCGGCGUCGUCACCCUCCAGGGGUUUCAGAAAAAAAAAAUGCCAACAGAAAGGAGGAGGAGUUCACCAUUUCUUCUCCAAGACGAAGCCCUCGAAAACCAGAGCAUUCCCAGGUGAGUGCAAGGCACUCCUGGCGAGUGCUUGGAACUUCCUAUUAGAGGAGGAUGUUUUCAGAUCACACCGUCUUUUGUGUGGGGGUGACCAGCACCAAAUUUCUUUAGUAGUAGAAAAUAUGACUUCUGUUAUAAUCAAACAACCUUUAGAGCUGGUAUGUGUGCUUGGCUGCUUUAAAACUAACUAAAAAAUGAAUCUCGGGGUCAGGGUUCAGUGGCACAGUGCCUGCCUGGCAAACACGAGGCCCUACGUUUGAGCCCCAGACCCCCCCAAAGUGAAUCUUACAUCGUAUAUUACACACACAUGCAGGUUCCACAUUUGUCAGAAUUUGUAGAAACAGUCACACCAUUGACAUGUGAAUGUUUGGUUAUUCACAAUAGUUUCUUUUUUAAUAACAAUGUGAUGUACUUAUGUGGAUGAUGUGAGUUUUGUAACAAGUUUUGAUAUGAAGAAAGAUAUCUACAUUAAGGUCAUUUAAAAAAAUAAAAUAAAGGCUUAGGGAUGUAGCUGUGCAACAGAGCACUUGGCUAGCACAUAGGAGGCCUUGGGUUCAAUUCCCCAGCAGUGAAAAAAUAAAAAGUCAAAAUAAAAAUAAAGGCUUCUUUCAGGGAUUAUUGGCUAAUUAGUGAAAAGUGAAGAGAGAACACAGAAAUAUCUAAAAAAUGGCCAUUUCAUCUGCUGAGGCUAACUAGUGCUUUACUGGACAUUUUCAGAAAGCCUUUUUCUGAUGGUAGAAAUUGAAUGGAUAUGUGCUAACUAAACAAAAUAUCUUAGACAUGUGGUAGUUUCUCAGUGCCAAAAAAGAAAUUCCUUGUCUUAAUUCCAAAUAGUAAAACUGAUCCAAAUAUUUAGGUGCUUUCUUCCCAGUUCUCUGACUCAGUCCUCUUUCUUUUUUUUUUUUUUGUUUUUUGUUUUUUGAGACAGGGUCUCAAUAUAUAGUUGAGACUGACCUGGAACUCACUAUGUAGCCCAGGCUGGUCUCAAACUCAGCAAUCCUCCUGCCUCAGCCUCCCAAGUGCUCAGAUUACAGGAGUGCGCCACCAUGCCCAGCUCUCAGUCCUCUUUCUAACCUGUGUCCCAAAGACAUAUCUUUAGUCAUGGGUUUGAUCAGGAAAGUUGUUACUUUUAUUUUAUUUUUUUGGUACCAUGGACUGAACUCAGGUCCUUGCACUUGCAAGGCAGGAGGCAGAACCACUGAGCUAAAUCCCUGGCCCAAGUUACUUUUAAUAGAUGUGUAAUCAAAAUUUAACUAGGAAGGUAUUCUGUGAAAUAAAAAUGCAAUAAUACUUUUCAGUGUCAUACAUAAAUGAUUUGACUGUUUGCUUUUGUGUGUCUUUGCACUAGUGUAUAUAGAAGACAGUUUCUAUUCUCAUUUUGACCUUGAUUACCUAGAAAGUAGCAGAGGAAAGUAUUUCUUAGGGGAAAUGGAUGCAGAGAGGAG
rnacentral:lncRNA from 1 species